UGAAGGUUAUAUUACUGCUGCAGACUGUUGAAGGUUAUAUUACUGCUGCAGACUGUUGAAGGUUAUAUUACUGCUGAAGGUUAUAUUACUGCUGAAGGUUAUAUUACUGCUGAAGGUUAUAUUACUGCUGCAGACUGUUGAAGGUUAUAUUACUGUUGCAGACUGUUGAAGGUUAUAUUACUGAUGAAGGUUAUAUUACUGCUGCAGACUGUUGAAGGUUAUAUUACUGUUGCAGACUGUUGAAGGUUAUAUUACUGAUGAAGGUUAUAUUACUGCUGCAGACUGUUGAUGGUUAUAUUACUGAUGAAGGUUAUAUUAUUGAUGAAUGUUAUAUUACUGCUGCAGACUGUUGAAGGUUAUAUUACUGCUGAAGGUUAUAUUACUGCUGAAGGUUAUAUUACUGCUGAAGGUUAUAUUACUGAUGAAGGUUAUAUUACUGCAGCAGACUGUUGAAGGUUAUAUUACUGCUGCAGACUGUUGAAGGUUAUAUUACUGUUGCAGACUGUUGAAGGUUAUAUUACUGAUGAAGGUUAUAUUACUGCUGCAGACUGUUGAUGGUUAUAUUACUGAUGAAGGUUAUAUUAUUGAUGAAUGUUAUAUUACUGCUGCAGACUGUUGAAGGUUAUAUUACUGCUGAAGGUUAUAUUACUGCUGAAGGUUAUAUUACUGCUGAAGGUUAUAUUACUGCUGAAGGUUAUAUUAUUGACAUUACUUUGCACUUUUCACUGGCUGUCCCUCGGGAGGACACAUUUGGCUGCCAAAACUGCACACUCUGGCUUUACACCCAAUAAAAACAUAUGUUUUAAAUUCUUCAUCUUUUACAGUUUCAAAUUAUUUGUACUGAAUGAUAAUGACAGUCUCUCUCUCUCUUUCUUCUCCUUCUUCUUCUUCUUCUCUUUCUUCUUCUUCUUCUUCUUCUUCUUCUUCUUCUUCUUCUUCUUCUCCUUCUUCUUCUUCUUCUUCUUCUUCUUCUUCUUCUUCUUCUUCUUCUUCUCUUUCUUCU